rnacentral:rRNA from 1 species
GAAUAUUGGACAAUGGGCGAAAGCCUGAUCCAGCAAUGCCGCGUGAGUGAUGAAGGCCUUAGGGUUGUAAAGCUCUUUUACCCGGGAUGAUAAUGACAGUACCGGGAGAAUAAGCUCCGGCUAACUCCGUUCCAGCAGCCGCGGUAAUACGGAGGGAGCUAGCGUUGUUCGGAAUUACUGGGCGUAAAGCGCACGUAGGCGGCUUUGUAAGUUAGAGGUGAAAGCCUGGAGCUCAACUCCAGAAUUGCCUUUAAGACUGCAUCGCUUGAAUCCAGGAGAGGUGAGUGGAAUUCCGAGUGUAGAGGUGAAAUUCGUAGAUAUUCGGAAGAACACCAGUGGCGAAGGCGGCUCACUGGACUGGUAUUGACGCUGAGGUGCGAAAGCGUGGGGAGCAAACAGG